GGUUGAUCCUGCCAGUAGUCAUAUGCUUGUCUCAAAGAUUAAGCCAUGCAUGUCUAAGUAUAAGCUUGUUUAUACGGCGAGACUGCGGAUGGCUCAUUAAAUCAGUUAUAGUUUAUUUGAUGGUCUCUUUGUUCUUUUUUUUACCUACUUGGAUAACCGUGGUAAUUCUAGAGCUAAUACAUGCGCAAGGUCCCGAGCGCGGAGAGUAGAGGCUUCACGGCCUUUAUUCUUGCAUGCGUAGAGGGAUGUAUUUAUUAGGUUAAACAACCAGCAUUUUUCAAUUUCUGGUGAUU
rnacentral:rRNA from 1 species